rnacentral:tRNA from 1 species
GCCUAGUUAGCUUAGUUGGUAGUGCGUCUGCUUCGUAAGCGCUAGGCCGCGGGUUCGAUUCCCGCCCGGGGCG